UGAGGAAUAUUGCGCAAUGGGCGCAAGCCUGACGCAGCGACGCCGCGUGGGGGAUGAAGGGCUUCGGCUUGUAAACCCCUUUCGGGGGGGAAGACGGUCCUAUACUCAUAGGACGGACGGUACCCCCAGAAGCAGCCACGGCUAACUUCGUGCCAGCAGCCGCGGUAAUACGAAGGUGGCAAGCGUUGUUCGGAUUUACUGGGCGUAAAGGGAGCGUAGGUGGUGGGGUAAGCCCCGCGGGAAAGCUCCAGGCUUAACCUGGAAAGGUCGCGGGGGACUGCUCCGCUCGAGGACGGGAGAGGAGCGCGGAAUUCCCGGUGUAGCGGUGAAAUGCGUAGAGAUCGGGAGGAAGGCCGGUGGCGAAGGCGGCGCUCUGGAACGGCCCUGACACUGAGGCUCGAAAGCGUGGGGAGCAAACA
rnacentral:rRNA from 1 species